rnacentral:rRNA from 1 species
GUGAGGAAUAUUGGUCAAUGGACGAGAGUCUGAACCAGCCAAGUCGCGUGAAGGAAGACGGUUCUAUGAAUUGUAAACUUCUUUUGUGCAGGAAUAAAGUGGGUUACGUGUAACCUUUUGUAUGUACUGUACGAAUAAGGAUCGGCUAACUCCGUGCCAGCAGCCGCGGUAAUACGGAGGAUCCGAGCGUUAUCCGGAUUUAUUGGGGUUAAAGGGUGCGUAGGUGGAUUGAUAAGUCAGCGGUGAAAGUUUGCAGCUUAACUGUAAAAUUGCCGUUGAAACUGUCGGUCUUGAGUGCAAAUGAGGUAGGCGGAAUGUGUUGUGUAGCGGUGAAAUGCUUAGAUAUAACACAGAACUCCGAUUGCGAAGGCAGCUUACUGGGAUGCAACUGACACUGAUGCACGAAAGCGUGGGUAUCAAACAGGAUUAGAUACCCCUGUAGUCC